CUAACAACAUCCAGAAAUCAAUUAAUCGCUCAUGGGGCUGAGAAUCCCAAUUGCACGGUUUACGUCGGCAAUCUAGAUGAGAGGGUAAGCGAUAGGGUACUGUAUGACAUCCUGAUUCAAGCUGGUCGGGUGGUGGACUUGUACAUUCCUCGGGAUAAAGAAACUGAGAAGCCGAAAGGUUUUGCAUUUGCACAAUAUGAAACAGAAGAGGUAGCAGACUAUGCUGUCAAGCUUUUUUCUGGCUUGUAACCCUUUACAAAGACAUUGAAAUUUGCGGUAUGUCUUUGUUCUUUGUGAUUCAUCUUGUAAGUUUUAUUUUAUACACUAUAUUACUCCAUCUUUUUUUGUUUUUUUUCCCAAGUUUGGGUCUUAUGUUUGACUCAAUUUGCUGUAUGAUGUGGUAACUUUUUGCUACAUUUCAUAUGGUACUGCUAUUUGUUCUCUCUCUCUCUCUCUCUCUCUUCUCUCUCUCUCUCUCUCUCUCUCUCGUUUUUGUUUGUUUUGUUUUAACUCUUCAACAUUGGCCUCCAAGUCAGCCUGCGACUGGUUUCUCUGUGGGACUCCAUGAGACGGUUAAAUUUGUUGCUCCUCCUGAGGAGGGGUUUGUGGAGCUUCCGCUUACAUCUUCUCUUGAAGAGGCAACAACUGAAUUAGCUUAUGGACCCUUACACAACUGGUGUAGGCUGACAUUUGUAAAUUGUAUUGAGGAGGCAUGAUUUUUCCAGCUUGCAUAGAAAGUAUAGUAAUAUUUGGACAUUGAAAACAGAUUUCUGGCAAGACAAGCCCUCAAUGAACUUGCCUACGGUAAGUUCCUCUCACAAACCGAGGCCUCACCCUGUAGCGUAUAACGAAACGGGCUCCAGAUUCCAUGAGUUUAUCAACAUCAUACAGGUUUCAAGAUCACCAAGUAAACUAUUCACAAGUGCGUGUCACUCCUGGUGUGUCUGUAAACCAGCCAAAUGGGUAUAGAUCCAAUUAUGACAACAAUGAUUAUGAGCAUUCUAAUGGAUAUAGAUCACAUUAUAACAGCAACAAUUAUGAUUACAGUUGAAGAGUGUUUGGGGCAGCAUUGGAUAAUAUUAAUCGCUCUAGGUUGGGCCGGUAUGAUACACGUGAUUCUACCAGUUAUUAUGCCUCGUAUUGAUUUAUAAGAUAGGUGGAUACCAACUAUAACUUUUCAGGUAUGAAGCAAUGUUGCAGCUAUGAUAAUUCGGGUAGCAAAGUAGAAGGUUGUAUAUGUAUAGCUCAUGUUUAUGGUUUUAGCAUUUGUGUGUAUCUGCAUCUAUGGUGUUUGUGGUUUAGCUUUUGCACUUGUGAAACCUGAAUUUCUUGGAACUUUAUGUUGUUGUAGCAACGAGGUCAUUUCUAUGUUUGUACUUUGAAAUUGGAGAUCCUAGUAGUGAUAAUCAGUUGUAAUCAUUCAAUGGAUGACUUAUUCUCUUCUGUUUUAUUCUUUUUAUUUCUGAACUAUAAUUUGCUGUUAUCCUGUAUGAUAGCUUAACAUAUAUGACAUUUUUUUUUAAAAGUCUGAUUAUAUUACUCUGGAGAUAUGCCCUUUAGAUUUGGAAAAGAUUUUUCAUCUCAUUUAGUGAUUCUCCUUAAUGGAGCAACUUUUGUGGAACAAGCACGCGCAAAUUCCUUUUCAAGUGUAAAGCUGGGGAUGAGUGUCAGGUACCAUAUGGCGUACCUGAUAAGUUCAUUCUCUGUAGAACUUGUGAUCUGUUGCAUUAACUGGAAAUCCAAGGUACUAUUUUUUGGCUGAAUCACUCCAGAAAUUAAUGUAUUAUUUUCAAGUAUGGGAAAAGAGCAGAGUUGAGCAGACGAGCAUUAUUCCUAUCAUGUACAAUUAGAUUGUUCAGUAUGCAUUUGUUCAUGUGUGCAACAUGUCGAGAUCAGUUGGUUUACAAGGAUUCUGUUUCUUGUAACUGCUUUACGUUUUCAUUCUGAUUUGGUCUUGGGAAUCUGUGAUAUCUAUCUCGUCGUUUGAUUGUGUAGCUGCAUGCUGUAUAAGAAGCUUCAUUGCUUUUGGUUGUUUUGGGGCUUGUAAAAGUAAAAUUACCAUUCUGUUUGUUUUGGCAAAUGGGAAAGAUUUUUGGAACUUUUUAAUUAUACGUAUGUUUUAUAGGCUUGCAGUCAAAUCUUGGUUUGGCUUCAGUAGAGCAGGAUUUGAUUGUCUGCUCCUUGCAAGAGGCCUGUAUUUGUCAUGAAAAUAGUUGAGGUUUACUCUUGUACUGGCCAUAGCGAAUAACAACUGAUAAUUUAAAGCAUGCACUUGCAAUAUGUUUUCCCGUUUCUCACUCCAUUCCUUGCGCUUUUGUUCAUGUUGUGGAGUCAGACGAAUGGAGGAGCAACUUUUGUGAUGUAAGAUGAUGUCCAUGGUUCUCAUUGUAGAGAAAAUUACAGAAAUAAUUGCUUGUGCUCUUAAAAAUCAUGUGCUUGCUAACGUUGCUCAGCAGGGGAUUAGUGGUCUAAUGCAGUCGUAGCUAGUUGGUUCCACCAGGUUUCCAUAAUUUGCCGGGUCAGUUUUUUGAUAUUCCAGGGUCUGAAUUCUGAUGCAGGCAAAAUAAAAUACUAUGGUUAAAAAGAAAAAAAAAGGACACGCAUUCUUCUUGUUUAUGGUAUGCUCGCCAAAUUGGCCGGAUCAGGCUCGCUUGAUUUGGUCAAUUUGCAUCGAUGAUGACUUUCACCCAGAAUCCCGCAAAAAAAAACGAGUGUUCAGAAUUCUGCGGUGUGUGUGUGUGUGUGAGAGAGAGAGAGAGAGAGAGAGAGUGUGUGUGUGUGUGUGUAGUUUUGUGUGUGUGUGUGUGAAAUCAUCCUCCAAUCAGUUGUUUCCGGGGCCCGGGGAAGAAGAAUGUGCUUCUGAAUUUGGUUUCCUGAUAAGGUUUCGUGUAAAUUUGAAAAUCCUGUAAUGGUGGCCUCCAAGGGUGAUUGAAAAGCAUUCCGCGACAGUAAUGCAAAUACAAUUUGAGACUCUCUUGGAUGUUACAAUUUAAAGAUGGGAUAAUAUGAAAUUGGGGAAAUAUGGAAGUGUGUAUGGGGUAAAAACUGAGAACUCAUAAUUACAAAGAGAAAUUUUUCAACAUAAGUAGAUAAAGUGCGAACGCCAUUCAGCCAGAAUUUUCGUCGUCCUCUCACGUGUUGCGCACGUGGAUCACCCCAUCUUUUUCGCGGCGAUGCGCUUCGUGUGUCCAUUUUCUUUCUCGGCUUAGGGUUAGCCGCAUCAAGAAUCUCUCGGCCGCUUCUUUCCUCCUGCCUUCCUGCGCGAGACCUAGGUUAGACUAAAAAACGCCGCCUUCUCUUCUCUUCUCCCUUUUCUCUUCUCUUUUUUUUUUUUCCUUUCCUCCUCCUCUUCCUCCUCCUGCUGUCACUUUCCCUCACUCUCUCCGUUCCGUCCUCCUCCGCCGCCACAUUAUCUCCCUCUCCGACACCAGCAUUCUUUUUUCCUUUUUUUCCCCGUUCCUUUCUCUUCCUCUCUCCUCUCUCUAUUUUUUCCCCUCAGACUCUCUCCGUUUCCUCCUCCGCCGCCGCCACAUCAUCUCCCUCUCCGACACCCAGUAUCACAAGUGCCUCAUCUCCCACCAGACGUCUACAUAUACUUCGUCUCUAGGGUUUCCUUAAAUUUCCUCCGCUGCCGCCGCUUUCUCUUCUCGUCUUCUCUCUUCGCCUCACCUUGCUCUCAGAAGCUCUGUCUCCUCUACCUUGAUCACCGUGGAAUAUAUAUUUUGUCUUGCUACAUUAGAUUUGCUCUGUACUCAUGUUUUUCUCCUCCUCUGUAAAAACUUGUUUGAUGCUAAUGGUUCUUGUGUUUUGUUGUGCAAGCAUUUUUUUCAUUGCUUUUAGGAGACUGGUUUGUGAUUUCUUUGGUAGCUGGGAUUUGGACUCUGGAAGCCGUUUGUUUGGCUGCCCCUCUUUACUUGUCUUUCCCUCUCCUCCCCCUCAUCAAAUUCCAGCCACAUCUUCUAAUGUAGCUCUCUACUACUUACAGACGGAAUCCGCAGUAGAAGUUUCUGAACUGAAAAAGGAAAGCUAAUCUCAGGGAGAUAGACAGAAGAGAAGGUACGACGGCGUCCAAGAUGCAGCGGUUCUUCGACCGAGAAUAACCUCGCAACCGGAGCUUUGUGGAAAUUAUGGCUCCUGUUUUCUCGCGGGAUGCUUGGCGAUGUGUUUGGCAUAUGAUUCAGAAUGAUUGGUGCAUGGUUGGGGAUUGGAUUUUGCGCUAAGGAGAUGUGUGGAGCCUGCACAUGAGAAAAUUGAUGUGGUUGACUCUCAGUGGAUAGUUCAUCAAGUUAUUCCUUCUCUGGGAAGUCAGGGUCAAUCUGAAAAUGGAAAAGCUCCUUGGCAAGGGGUAAGAGAGAGGUGCAGAAGUGAGUGGGUGCAGUUUCAAGAUCGCCUAGCCAAUGCAGAUAAGAAAUAUAUUGAACAGUUUGGGAGGACUUUGAAUUAGCUAAUUUCUGGUUAUUACCUGAACGAGGUAUUUGAACAACAGAAAGUUUUCUCUGAUUGGAAAAGAAAUAUAGAGACAUUGGAGAAAAAUAGUGUAACCAGUCUGAGGACAUUGAUCAAUCUUGGUUCUGAAGUGUACAUGCAAGCUGAUGUAAUGCUGAACUGACUGCUCAUGUGGCUAAGCAGUAAAGAGGAAGGAAUCUGCUGUCCUAUGUUAGGCAUUGUCGUUUGAUUAUGAGUGCAGUUUCAUUGGAUGUUUUUUAGUUAAUGUGUAUUAUGUAGUUAUAGUUGUUAGAGGACUCAAGCACAGAAAUUCUGUAAUAGCUAGGUUGUUGCCAUUUCAGUUUGUUGCCAUUCUGUAAUAGCUAGGUAUGUAUUGAUCAUAUAAUUUCUGAAGCAUUCUUGAUGGGAGAAAAAGACUUUGGGGUAAAGAAUCAAGAAAUCAUAUAGAGAACAAAGUUGAAAUUAAUGUAAGGCGAGACCACACAGCUUUCCUAA